GCCCGGGGCAGCGGCUCGGCCGCACCUCUGAGGGCUCCGGCAAGAGCAGCGCUCGCCUCUCCGCGAACACGGACGGGCUCCGUCCUCACGGAGGAUACGGCUCCAGCGCCGCUCUGUCGCCGUACGGGUCGGGGACCGUCGGCCAAAAGCAGCGGCAGCCUGAGCUCGAGAGUAAGCGGGGCCCACAUGGGUGGUGAUGCUGGUCACUAAUGACACCGCACCGACCAGGCACAGCGAGCCUCAGCACUUUGGUUAACCCAACUUCCAACUGCUGUGACCCAUCCUGCCUCUUGAAAUGAACCAAACGGAUUAUGCUGAAGACUCUUGUGAUGCCGAUAGAGGUAGAAGGAACAGCACGUUUAGCAGAGCCAUUGUCUUCCUCAUUUUCAUGGGGACGUUUUCUCGUUGUGGUUGGCUGGAAGAAAAACACAGGAGGAUGGCUCCAGGAAACCAGUGUCACCUGAUUUGAUUGUGGAUACAAUUGAAUUGAUGGAUAAGGUAAGAAAUAUUUUUCCAUUGAUGUAACAAAGACCUGUGGUUUUUCUUCAGCAUGCAGUCAAACUAAUCUUGUACCAUUCAAAAGAUUUCAGUGAAGAUUUCAGAGGCAGAAACAGCAAUAAUUGUUUAUAUGCCUUUAAAAAAAUGUUUUAUUAAGUAAAUACAGGUAAGAAGACAUUUCCACUGAGCAGUACUUAGGUUUACACAGCUCAACAGGUUUUUAAAGUUCUAGAUUUAAGCAAAGAAUGGAGUAAACAACUUGUUUUGAAAACACUAAUUUGAAAGCACUACUAGUUUAAAUAAAUCUGCAGAACAUGCUUACUUCUAGUACCUGAAAAAUUCCCUAGUGCCCCCAAAAUCAUCAGAGGGCAUCAGCUGGUCACAGAGAGAAUGGGGUUUUUUCCUGCUGACUUGUAAAGUCAAUACUUCCAGACAACACAAGAGGGAGAGAGAAGCCAGUAACUCCUCACUACUCACUGGGGCAGGACUGGGGAGCUCUUUUGGUGCUAUGAGAUGUGUGAUAUCUAGAGCUGAGCAUGCUGGAUGCUGGCCUUCCAAGCAGGCAGUUCACAUCGCCUAUGAACACCUGACACUCCUAGUAACAGCCCCUGAAGGGAAACAGCUCAAAGAACAGCAGCUGAAUGCUUGAUGACAUCUGGUUUUAUGGCUAUGAUGUUUUCUGGAACCUUCUGUCCUGUCGUCAGAAUUAAACUUAACAGUAAGAGAUGUCCUUACAUGCAAUAUAUAAUCAAGUUAAUAACAACUUGAGUAUAUAAACUGAAAUAUCUUAAAUUCUUAGCUCAUCUAAAUCAGUCAUCUAUUUCCCCUUCCCCCUUUAUGCAUACCAGCAAUUUUUAAAAUCAGUGCUGCAUGGUUUCUGAAUAACUUUUCUGCUCAGAUUUGUAAUUCCAAUGUAAGAAUCUAUAUCUGAUUAACUCAUUGUAGAUGUUACACACAAAACUACAGUAACUAAAACCCAUGAAUGUCAGGAAAAGCUUCCUGAUGCCCAGGAGCAUAAUCAAGACAAGUUAAUCACUUUAAAAAGUAAUCCACACAUGUUUUUUGUCUCAGAACACUAUCAGCUGUUGGGCACUGAGGGAUACUCCCUUGCUUCCCCCAUUUCUUAUGCUCUUUACCAAAGCAUCUGAAAUUCUGCUGUUCCCAGUGGAGGAACAGGAAUAGCCUUGUGCUUGGUGUGAAUAAACAGAACCUGUUGCGUGGCUCAGAUGGAGGCUGGGUGACAUUUUUCAGCCUCUUCAAGCAAAAAUAUUCAAGAAAGCUCAUAGGUUUAAAUUUAAGAAAAGACCACCUAAAUACUAUCCCUCUCAAACCUAAUUAGACUCUAACAGGAGGCAGGGAAACCAUCACUUCCUACUCAGAGGGUUCCCAAACCAGGGACACAGCAGAGUAAAAACAAGCUAGUAUUGGAUGCUUGCCAGAAACAAACUGCACUGCCUGCCCACACAAAUA